UGGGGAAUUUUGGACAAUGGGGGCAACCCUGAUCCAGCAAUGCCGCGUGGGUGAUGAAGGCCUUCGGGUCGUAAAGCCCUGUCGGGUGGAAAGAACGGUAUGGGUGCAAAUAGCGCUCAUACGUGACGGUACCACCGAAGGAAGCACCGGCCAAUUCCGUGCCAGCAGCCGCGGUAAGACGGAAGGUGCAAGCGUUGCUCGGAAUCACUGGGCGUAAAGGGUGCGUAGGCGGCUGUGUAAGUCUGGCGUGAAAUCCCUCGGCUCAACCGGGGAACGACGCAUGAAACUAGCAAGCUAGAGUACCAAAGAGGGUGGUGGAAUUCCCGGAGUAGGGGUGAAAUCCGUUGAUAUCAUGGGGAACACCAAAAGCGAAGGCAGUACAUUGGGCCACUCCUGACACUGAAACACGAAAGCGUAGGUAGCGAAUGGGAUUAGAUACCCCCGUAGUCCCUGAGCGGGCUGGCAAGGCGCAU
rnacentral:rRNA from 1 species